rnacentral:sRNA from 1 species
UUCCUGCGCGGCCUCUUAACGCUGCUGCUGCCGCCGCCACCCCUCUAUACCCGGCACCGCAUGCUCGGUCCAGAGUCCGUCCCGCCCCCAAAACGAUCCCGCAGCAAACUCAUGGCACCGCCCCGAAUCGGGACGCACAAUGGCACCUUCCACUGCGACGAGGCACUGGCAUGCGCACUGCUUCGCCUCCUGCCGGAGUACCGGGAUGCAGAGAUUGUGCGGACCCGGGAUCCCGAAAAACUCGCUUCCUGUGACAUCGUGGUGGACGUGGGGGGCGAGUACGACCCUCGGAGACACCGAUAUGACCAUCACCAGAGGUCUUUCACAGAGACCAUGAGCUCCCUGUCCCCUGGGAAGCCGUGGCAGACCAAGCUGAGCAGUGCGGGACUCAUCUAUCUGCACUUCGGGCACAAGCUGCUGGCCCAGUUGCUGGGCACUAGUGAAGAGGACAGCAUGGUGGGCACCCUCUAUGACAAGGUGGGGACCUGAGGACAGAGAUGCCCCCCACAUGCAUUUCCAGCAGGCCGCCUGGGAGCAGUGCUCACACAGCACUCAGCACUGGGCCUCGGGUCAGGGUUCCUGGCCUAUAGCAGGCCCAACACUCAUCCUCUCCCUCAGUCAGGCUCAUCUCACAAGGGAAUGGUGAUACCUCCCCUGUCUACAUCCUGGGGUGGUUGUGAGAAGUGGAUGCUGUAAUAUAUGGGGAAGGGCUUUGAAAACCAUAAAGCAGCAUGGCCCUGUCUUUUUAUUGACACACACAAACAGCAAUUGCUCAGCACCUUUGGGUAAACAGAGGGGAGGCUGCUUAUGUGUGGAAGCAGAUGGCUCAGAGGUUCUGGCUGCCCUGAAGGUUGAGGGGAGUGUAUGUUAGGCACCACUGUAGUUCACUAGUGGCACAUAAAUUGGGAAGCUCAGCUGAGAAGAGUUUUAUUAUGAAACUGUCUUUGGAUUCCACCAGUGUCCCCUGCAAGCAGCUUCCUGCUCUUAGGGAAGGAAUAUGGCUAGUGGCCCUGGCAUGCAAGUCAGGUCGCACAGUACUGAGGACACUUACUUGUUUACAAGUCAAAGCCCAGGUUCAGUCAGCUGUAUUUCUUGCAGGUAGGCUGUUGAAUUCAGUUCUCAGUUUUUUUGU